GCUAAGACCCGGAGAAGCGGGCUCUCCCCCUAGCGCCUCCUCGGAGGCGCCUCCGGGACGCACUGGGCAUGUUCCGUCGCUGGGUCAGGGUUUGCUGACACCCAGGAAGCUUCUGCGGCAGCAGUGCCCCUUCCACGGCGGAUUUCUUUCCCCACUCCCUCAGUGGGCUCUGGCACAAAUACAAGUGGCCCGAGGCAGCCUUGGUCCCCCUCGCCGGGAGAGGCAGAAGGUCCUUGGGAACCGGAGCUCAAGUUUUCUCCCAGAGAACUUCGCAGCCUUCUCCUUUUUCAGCCCCAAGAAAUCGGAGACCUUUUUCGAGAGCCUUUGAUUGCUCUUCAACGACACAGGUCAAUUAAAUGCGUAUUGAGUGCCACUAUUUGACAGGCACUAUGCAAAGAGCUAAGGAUGGGAACCCUAAAACAAAAACUCCACAAUGCCUGUCCUCAGGGAGCUUACACCUUCCAUCAGGGGAGGGGAUAUUUUAAUAAAUAACUGGUGUCUAAACUCUGACAAAUUCUUGUUGUAAAGAGAAUUUUUGAAGAAAUGCACCGCUUUACUCCUUGAAUACAAUACUAUAUUCUCGUCCCUCUUUUUUCUUGGAUGCACCUUGCAUGCACUCCCUUCUCACACCUAUCAAACAUGGACCUUUCACGUGAGGCAUCUUAUCAUCUCUGGCCAGUGACCGCAUUAAAUACAUAGCAUGUAUUUAAGAGCCUACUAUGUCAGGCACUGUGCUAAGCGCUGGGGAAACAGGAAAAGGUAAAACAACAAUCAAAGAAAAACAAAACAAAAAAACAUAGCUGCUGCAAAUUAUGUUGGAUAUGUAUGGGAAAAGUAUUUUUAACCCGUAUUUUAGGGAAGGGGGAAUUAAAUAGGUUUGGGGACAAUAUCUCAUUGAUUCAUGAGCUGGAAGAUGUUUCUUUCAUAAAAUAAAGUACCUUGGACUGAACACCUGGUUCUUCUAUUUGGAGC